GCCCGCCCCCGCCGGAGGGUCCCUGGCCCAGAGGGCACCAGCUGUUCUUGGGUGUUAAUAAAACAAGAAAGCGUAUUCUCUAAGGCAGGCAGUAUUGUGCUCAAGCUACCCUGGGCGGGGUUUUUUUGUCCUAAACCUGUGGUGAGAUCCUGGUUCAGAAUAGUAAGAAUCAGCUGAACUGCAGUUCAGUGUCAUCUCAACCACAGUUAUUUGUUUAUACUACAAAAGCAUAGCACUCAAAGGCUCUGAUGUGCCUCCCAGGCAGGAACCAGGACAGUCUCAGAAAACUCCAGUUAUCCGCAGCCCACCCUUUUGCCAGCGCUGAUCCGCCUGCCGCCAGGAGGAAGUGCCCUGCAGUGUUUGCAGGGAGUCACGGAGUGCAACUGCUCAGCGGGAAAACAGGACCGGGAGACUUCAAUCUUGAUGUUACAGUGCAACCUACCGACGGACAGGUGGAAUUUGGAGUGCAGCUCCUGAACGGAAAAUACAAGCAGCCACCCGAGGGCCCCUUCCCCGCCACGGAGCGGCGCCGGCAGCGGAGCGGGGUCCCGUGAAGGAGACGGAGCCGAGCUGGGAGCCCGCCGGGCGGGACGGCACAGGACAGCUCUGUCCCUCUCACCUUCUCACCGAGAAGCGGCGCUACACGCUCCCGUUCCCGCUCCCGAUCCCGCUCCCGUUCCCGUUCCCAUUCCCCUUCCUGCCCCCGUUCCCUGCAGGUGUCCGCCAGAGGGGGCCCGGCCCCCGCG